UACGUAGGUGGUGAGCGUUGUCCGGAAUUACUGGGUGUAAAGGGAGCGUAGGCGGGAGUGCAAGUUGAAUGUUAAAUCUAUCGGCUCAACCGAUAGCCGCGUUCAAAACUGCAUUUCUUGAGUGAAGUAGAGGUUGGCGGAAUUCCUAGUGUAGCGGUGAAAUGCGUAGAUAUUAGGAGGAACACCAGUGGCGAAGGCGGCCAACUGGGCUUUACUGACGCUGAGGCUCGAAAGCGUGGGGAGCAAACAGGAUUAGAUACCCUGGUAGUCCCU
rnacentral:rRNA from 1 species